GCUAAGUGGAGGGCAGUUCUCAGUUAUGUGAGAUUUGGAAGCAAGUCCUUCAGCCGGAGACAAGCAGAAGGUCCAGGAGGUGAGGAUGCCAUACUCACAAGACCAAGAUCCUAUGUCUGAAAAAGCUUUGCUCCUCCACGCCCUUCCAGCAUGAUGUUUCUGCCUUGGAUCCAGCUGAGCAUGGACUGAAUCUCUGAAACCGAAUGGAAGUGUGUGGUAAGAGCACGUUGAAGAAGCCACUUCAUCCCCUCUGACUCUGUUUUCUUUCCUGAAAGCUGAAGGAUCUCAAUGCACAAAUGGAAACCCCUUUCAGAUCAAAUAUUUUACAUUAAAUAUCUCACGGAAAUAAUGCCAACAUCUCAGAUAGUCCUGCUUGUUCCUCUAAGAGUAUCCCCUGCUUUGUGGAGUGGGCAGGGAAGUGUAGUAGCAGUGAGCACAACACCAAGCCAGCAAUUUGGGAAGUUUGCUUUAUGCCCAAUACAGUCCAUGGC
ensembl:lncRNA